UUUAUGGAGAGUUUGAUCCUGGCUCAGGAUGAACGCUGGCGGCGUGCCUAAUACAUGCAAGUCGAGCGAACGGAUGAGAAGCUUGCUUCUCUGAUGUUAGCGGCGGACGGGUGAGUAACACGUGGAUAACCUACCUAUAAGACUGGGAUAACUUCGGGAAACCGGAGCUAAUACCGGAUAAUAUUUUGAACCGCAUGGUUCAAAAGUGAAAGACGGUCUUGCUGUCACUUAUAGAUGGAUCCGCGCUGCAUUAGCUAGUUGGUAAGGUAACGGCUUACCAAGGCAACGAUGCAUAGCCGACCUGAGAGGGCGAUCGGCCACACUGGAACUGAGACACGGUCCAGACUCCUACGGGAGGCAGCAGUAGGGAAUCUUCCGCAAUGGGCGAAAGCCUGACGGAGCAACGCCGCGUGAGUGAUGAAGGUCUUCGGAUCGUAAAACUCUGUUAUUAGGGAAGAACAUAUGUGUAAGUAACUGUGCACAUCUUGACGGUACCUAAUCAGAAAGCCACGGCUAACUACGUGCCAGCAGCCGCGGUAAUACGUAGGUGGCAAGCGUUAUCCGGAAUUAUUGGGCGUAAAGCGCGCGUAGGCGGUUUUUUAAGUCUGAUGUGAAAGCCCACGGCUCAACCGUGGAGGGUCAUUGGAAACUGGAAAACUUGAGUGCAGAAGAGGAAAGUGGAAUUCCAUGUGUAGCGGUGAAAUGCGCAGAGAUAUGGAGGAACACCAGUGGCGAAGGCGACUUUCUGGUCUGUAACUGACGCUGAUGUGCGAAAGCGUGGGGAUCAAACAGGAUUAGAUACCCUGGUAGUCCACGCCGUAAACGAUGAGUGCUAAGUGUUAGGGGGUUUCCGCCCCUUAGUGCUGCAGCUAACGCAUUAAGCACUCCGCCUGGGGAGUACGACCGCAAGGUUGAAACUCAAAGGAAUUGACGGGGACCCGCACAAGCGGUGGAGCAUGUGGUUUAAUUCGAAGCAACGCGAAGAACCUUACCAAAUCUUGACAUCCUU
rnacentral:rRNA from 1 species